CUGAAGCUCUGCAGGGUUCCCAGUAAGCUCUCAUUGACCUUCUGCAUGGUGACCUUCCCAGCAUGACUCUCAGGGAGGGACAGGAUGAGCCAGAAGUGCGCCACUACACUGCCUUCGCUGUGGAAACAGCAUUUUCCAAUGAAAGUACCAGGCCAAGGCUGAACCUCCAGCCAGGAUCAGGAGGAUGAAGAUGACGAUCAGGGCAAUAGUCCGCUGUGAGACCAUCUUAUAUGUGAAUGUUGGCAUCAGGAUAUUAUCAGAGCCUUCCUGUAGAUAGAACAACCUCCAAGAUCCAGGCUUCAAAGCAGCGCAUUCCACAGAGAUUGCCCUUUCGGCUGUCACUGAGAGGCUACAUGCUGCUAGAUCAGCCAAACUGUCAUCAGUCCUCAUCCUCCUCGACCUUUCAGCAUCGUUUG